UUCCUUGGGUCAUUUAGAGGAAGUAAAAGUCGUAACAAGGUCUCCGUUGGUGAACCAGCGGAGGGAUCAUUACCGAGUUUACAACUCCCAAACCCCUGUGAACAUACCUUAUGUUGCCUCGGCGGAUCAGCCCGCGGCCCCGUAAAAAGGGACGGCCCGCCGCAGGAACCCUAAACUCUGUUUUUAGUGGAACUUCUGAGUAUAAAAAACAAAUAAAUCAAAACUUUCAACAACGGAUCUCUUGGUUCUGGCAUCGAUGAAGAACGCAGCAAAAUGCGAUAAGUAAUGUGAAUUGCAGAAUUCAGUGAAUCAUCGAAUCUUUGAACGCACAUUGCGCCCGCCAGUAUUCUGGCGGGCAUGCCUGUUCGAGCGUCAUUUCAACCCUCAAGCCCAGCUUGGUGUUGGGAGCUGCAGUCCUGCUGCACUCCCCAAAUACAUUGGCGGUCACGUCGAGCUUCCAUAGCGUAGUAAUUUACNCAUCGUUACUGGUAAUCGUCGCGGCCACGCCGUUAAA
rnacentral:rRNA from 1 species